UUCCCCGGGAAGGGCGAGAAGAAGGGACUACGGGGCUACUCGGCGGAUGGGACGGGGGCAAAGGAGGCCGGCGGGAUUGCCCUGCGGGGUUUACGCCAGUCGCCCUGAACAUCUGGAGCAGCCGGGCGCGCGUCCCCGGAGCUGGCCCGGGGAAGGGCACCCCCGCGCUGCGGCGGCCAAGCCCCUUCCUGCCCACGCCUUGGAGAGGUGGCUACUGCCGAGCGGUGUCGGGCAAAGAGCCAAGGCGCGUCCCUCCCCUCCGUCCGCCGCUCUCCCACCCAAGGAGGGGGAGGGAGGCAGGCUGCCCAUUCUGCCCUCCCUCCUUCCCUCGGCGGGGAGGAGGCGCGUCCGGGUGCCAGAAGCGCCUGCCCGUGGAGAGGGCGCGGCCUGGCCGGGAGGCCGCCUGGAGCGGAGCGUGUUCCCCCCUGGUGCGCGCGCGGCCUCCGGGGGCCCCUGCUCGGGGAAAGGCUUGACCUACUUCGGCCUCUCCUGGGUCGGGCAGGUGGAGGGCCUGGCGCCGCAAGCCCUGCUUGGGACCUCCCGCCCGGCAGGCGCCUCCGGGAAAAACGCGCCCGCGCUCUGCUGCUCUUCGGGAAAGCCCAGCGGCACCUUCAGGACUCCAGCCGGGUCCAGUAAAGGGUCCGAAUCGUCCUCCCCUCGGUCCAUUUUUCAUUAAGCGACCCACGGUGAUCUCUGGACGGGUCCAGACCACACACCCGCAGGGCACAAAACCCUGGCGACACUUCUUGGACCCGUUCCGGCUGCCCUUUGGGUCCGACCAGAUGGAUCCAGUUCUGAGAACUGAGGGCCUGUUCAUAAGAGCUUGGAUGUAGCACUUAUGGAUGUGAAGUAUCAGUUCCAUAGUCCCAAUCUUACCUUGGUUAUGACCUAACCAGCAGGACUCUAAAGAGGGGACAUAGAAAUAUGAAUAAAUAUUGAAAUAUUGAAUGCUAAGAGAUUUGAACACUAACCCCAACUAUAUUAAUUAUUAUACACGAUUGUUACAUCUGGAACAAUGAGGACAAGAGCUCGAUCAGUAUGUGCCCUGGGUAAGCUUGCUUGUAUAUUAUUAAUUGUAAGAGCCCCACGCUCUUCAGUUAAUCUGGUCUGCAACAGGGAAAGGAAGGCCCACAGCUCACUUGCUUAUUUUUUUUACCAAGUUGAAGAAAGACCGUCAGCAGCUGCAGCCUAUGCAGAAGAACAGAUGGGAUAAAGAAAGCUUGCAUUGUUUGGACUUUCGCACUUUUCUUUAUUUACUGGGCACUGUUAGUAAUUGAAACUGUUUUGAGUGCUUUUCGUGAAAAGCACUGAAGAUUUUGUAUAAUUGAGUUGUGCUACAUA